UGACUGCGUACCUUUUGUAUAAUGGGUCAGCGACUUAUAUUCUGUAGCAAGGUUAACCGAAUAGGGGAGCCGGAGGGAAACCGAGUCUUAACUGGGCGUUAAGUUGCAGGGUAUAGACCCGAAACCCGGUGAUCUAGCCAUGGGCAGGUUGAAGGUUGGGUAACACUAACUGGAGGACCGAACCGACUAAUGUUGAAAAAUUAGCGGAUGACCUGUGGCUGGGGGUGAAAGGCCAAUCAAACCGGGAGAUAGCUGGUUCUCCCCGAAAGCUAUUUAGGUAGCGCCUCGUGAAUUCAUCUCCGGGGGUAGAGCACUGUUUCGGCUAGGGGGCCAUCCCGGCUUACCAACCCGAUGCAAACUGCGAAUACCGGAGAAUGUUAUCACGGGAGACACACGGCGGGUGCUAACGUCCGUCGUGAAGAGGGAAACAACCCAGACCGCCAGCUAAGGUCCCAAAGUCAUGGUUAAGUGGGAAACGAUGUGGGAAGGCCCAGACAGCCAGGAUGUUGGCUUAGAAGCAGCCAUCAUUUAAAGAAAGCGUAAUAGCUCACUGGUCGAGUCGGCCUGCGCGGAAGAUGUAACGGGGCUAAACCAUGCACCGAAGCUGCGGCAGCGACGCUGAUGCGUUGUUGGGUAGGGGAGCGUUCUGUAAGCCUGUGAAGGUGGCCUGUGAGGGUUGCUGGAGGUAUCAGAAGUGCGAAUGCUGACAUAAGUAACGAUAAAGCGGGUGAAAAGCCCGCUCGCCGGAAGACCAAGGGUUCCUGUCCAACGUUAAUCGGGGCAGGGUGAGUCGACCCCUAAGGCGAGGCCGAAAGGCGUAGUCGAUGGGAAACGGGUUAAUAUUCCCGUACUUGGUGUUACUGCGAAGGGGGGACGGAGAAGGCUAUGUUGGCCGGGCGACGGUUGUCCCGGUUUAAGCGUGUAGGUGUGUGUUCCAGGUAAAUCCGGUUCACUUUAACACUGAGGCGUGAUGACGAGGCACUACGGUGCUGAAGCAACAAAUGCCCUGCUUCCAGGAAAAGCCUCUAAGCAUCAGGUAACAUCAAAUCGUACCCCAAACCGACACAGGUGGUCAGGUAGAGAAUACCAAGGCGCUUGAGAGAACUCGGGUGAAGGAACUAGGCAAAAUGGUGCCGUAACUUCGGGAGAAGGCACGCUGACACGUAGGUGAAGUGAUUUACUCACGGAGCUGAAGUCAGUCGAAGAUACCAGCUGGCUGCAACUGUUUAUUAAAAACACAGCACUGUGCAAACACGAAAGUGGACGUAUACGGUGUGACGCCUGCCCGGUGCCGGAAGGUUAAUUGAUGGGGUCAGCGCAAGCGAAGCUCCUGAUCGAAGCCCCGGUAAACGGCGGCCGUAACUAUAACGGUCCUAAGGUAGCGAAAUUCCUUGUCGGGUAAGUUCCGACCUGCACGAAUGGCGUAAUGAUGGCCAGGCUGUCUCCACCCGAGACUCAGUGAAAUUGAACUCGCUGUGAAGAUGCAGUGUACCCGCGGCAAGACGGAAAGACCCCGUGAACCUUUACUAUAGCUUGACACUGAACAUUGAGCCUUGAUGUGUAGGAUAGGUGGGAGGCUUUGAAGUGUGGACGCCAGUCUGCAUGGAGCCGACCUUGAAAUACCACCCUUUAAUGUUUGAUGUUCUAACGUGGACCCGUAAUCCGGGUUGCGGACAGUGUCUGGUGGGUAGUUUGACUGGGGCGGUCUCCUCCUAAAGAGUAACGGAGGAGCACGAAGGUUGGCUAAUCCUGGUCGGACAUCAGGAGGUUAGUGCAAUGGCAUAAGCCAGCUUGACUGCGAGCGUGACGGCGCGAGCAGGUGCGAAAGCAGGUCAUAGUGAUCCGGUGGUUCUGAAUGGAAGGGCCAUCGCUCAACGGAUAAAAGGUACUCCGGGGAUAACAGGCUGAUACCGCCCAAGAGUUCAUAUCGACGGCGGUGUUUGGCACCUCGAUGUCGGCUCAUCACAUCCUGGGGCUGAAGUAGGUCCCAAGGGUAUGGCUGUUCGCCAUUUAAAGUGGUACGCGAGCUGGGUUUAGAACGUCGUGAGACAGUUCGGUCCCUAUCUGCCGUGGGCGCUGGAGAACUGAGGGGGGCUGCUCCUAGUACGAGAGGACCGGAGUGGACGCAUCACUGGUGUUCGGGUUGUCAUGCCAAUGGCACUGCCCGGUAGCUAAAUGCGGAAGAGAUAAGUGCUGAAAGCAUCUAAGCACGAAACUUGCCCCGAGAUGAGUUCU
rnacentral:rRNA from 1 species